rnacentral:rRNA from 1 species
AUUGAACGCUGGCGGCAGGCCUAACACAUGCAAGUCGAGCGGUAGAGAGGUGCUUGCAUCUCUUGAGAGCGGCGGACGGGUGAGUAAUGCCUAGGAAUCUGCCUAGUGGUGGGGGAUAACGUUCGGAAACGGACGCUAAUACCGCAUACGUCCUACGGGAGAAAGCGGGGGAUCUUCGGACCUCGCGCCAUUAGAUGAGCCUAGGUCGGAUUAGCUAGUUGGUGAGGUAAUGGCUCACCAAGGCGACGAUCCGUAACUGGUCUGAGAGGAUGAUCAGUCACACUGGAACUGAGACACGGUCCAGACUCCUACGGGAGCAGCAGUGGGGAAUAUUGGACAAUGGGCGAAAGCCUGAUCCAGCCAUGCCGCGUGUGUGAAGAAGGUCUUCGGAUUGUAAAGCACUUUAAGUUGGGAGGAAGGG